UUGAAGGAGAGCCUUCUCACUGUAUUUGAUUGCCUUUUCCAUAGACCCCGAAUACAUGGAGUGCAUUACAGUUACCUUGAAUAUUUCAACAAUGCAGUUAUAAAGAGUAAAAAGUUAUUCACAGUGUUAUAGUGCAGACUCAAAGUAUCUCUUCAAAAAUGAACAUUAAGGUCUGGAGAAUAAAGGAAAUGAUCAAAAACUCAAGAGGCUCUUAUUGUUGGACAAAUUUCUUCUUGUGAGGACCAUAACAAAUGUAUAGAGAAGAAUAAGGAGAACUUGCAUUUUGAUAUUCAGGUAUAAAAGGUUAGAUAAUCAAUGCUAAAAACUGCACAAGACAGUUCAAUCUCUUUGUUAUUUAUACUGGUGUUACAUCGAGUAUUAAACUAUGUCUCACAAAUGAGAUGGAUAUUAGACUUUUACCAAAUAAACCAGAACACAAAGAUGUUCUUUAGUGAGCCAUUCAAA